rnacentral:rRNA from 1 species
CAGUAGCCACGGUAAUACGUAGGUCCCGAGCGUUGCCCGGAUUUAUUGGGCGUAAAGCGAGCGCAGGCGGUUAGAUAAGUCUGAAGUUAAAGGCUGUGGCUUAACCAUAGUACGCUUUGGAAACUGUUUAACUUGAGUGCAGGAGGGGAGAGUGGAAUUCCAUGUGUAGCGGUGAAAUGCGUAGAUAUAUGGAGGAACACCGGUGGCGAAAGCGGCUCUCUGGCUUGUAACUGACGCUGAGGCUCGAAAGCGUGGGGAGCAAACAGGAUUAGAGACCCGAGUAGUCCCUGUCUCUUAUACA